AGUGAACGCUGGCGGUAGGCCUAACACAUGCAAGUCGAACGGCAGCACAGUAAGAGCUUGCUCUUACGGGUGGCGAGUGGCGGACGGGUGAGGAAUACAUCGGAAUCUACUUUUUCGUGGGGGAUAACGUAGGGAAACUUACGCUAAUACCGCAUACGACCUACGGGUGAACGCAGGGGAUCUUCGGACCUUGCGCGAUUGAAUGAGCCGAUGUCGGAUUAGCUAGUUGGCGGGGUAAAGGCCCACCAAGGCGACGAUCCGUAGCUGGUCUGAGAGGAUGAUCAGCCACACUGGAACUGAGACACGGUCCAGACUCCUACGGGAGGCAGCAGUGGGGAAUAUUGGACAAUGGGCGCAAGCCUGAUCCAGCCAUACCGCGUGGGUGAAGAAGGCCUUCGGGUUGUAAAGCCCUUUUGUUGGGAAAGAAAAGCAGCAGGUUAAUACCCCGCUGUCCUGACGGUACCCAAAGAAUAAGCACCGGCUAACUUCGU
rnacentral:rRNA from 1 species